rnacentral:rRNA from 1 species
GAUUGAUGGUGCUUGCACCUGAUUGACGAUGGAUCACCAGUGAGUGGCGGACGGGUGAGUAACACGUAGGUAACCUGCCCCGGAGCGGGGGAUAACAUUUGGAAACAGAUGCUAAUACCGCAUAACAACAAAAGCUGCAUGGCUUUUGUUUGAAAGAUGGCUUUGGCUAUCACUCUGGGAUGGACCUGCGGUGCAUUAGCUAGUUGGUAAGGUAACGGCUUACCAAGGCGAUGAUGCAUAGCCGAGUUGAGAGACUGAUCGGCCACAAUGGAACUGAGACACGGUCCAUACUCCUACGGGAGGCAGCAGUAGGGAAUCCUCCACAAUGGGCGCAAGCCUGAUGGAGCAACACCGCGUGAGUGAAGAAGGGUUUCGGCUCGUAAAGCUCUGUUGUUGGAGAAGAACGUGCGUGAGAGUAACUGUUCACGCAGUGACGGUAUCCAACCAGAAAGUCACGGCUAACUACGUGCCAGCAGCCGCGGUAAUACGUAGGUGGCAAGCGUUAUCCGGAUUUAUUGGGCGUAAAGCGAGCGCAGGCGGUUGCUUAGGUCUGAUGUGAAAGCCUUCGGCUUAACCGAAGAAGUGCAUCGGAAACCGGGCGACUUGAGUGCAGAAGAGGACAGUGGAACUCCAUGUGUAGCGGUGGAAUGCGUAGAUAUAUGGAAGAACACCAGUGGCGAAGGCGGCUGUCUGGUCUGCAACUGACGCUGAGGCUCGAAAGCAUGGGUAGCGAACAGGAUUAGAUACCCUGGUAGUCCAUGC